rnacentral:rRNA from 1 species
GUGGGGAAUAUUGGACAAUGGGCGAAAGCCUGAUCCAGCCAUGCCGCGUGUGUGAAGAAGGUCUUCGGAUUGUAAAGCACUUUAAGUUGGGAGGAAGGGCAGUAAGUUAAUACCUUGCUGUUUUGACGUUACCGACAGAAUAAGCACCGGCUAACUUCGUGCCAGCAGCCGCGGUAAUACGAAGGGUGCAAGCGUUAAUCGGAAUUACUGGGCGUAAAGCGCGCGUAGGUGGUUUUGUAAGUUGGAGGUGAAAUCCCCGGGCUCAACCUUGGAACUGCCUCCAAAACUGCAUGACUAGAGUACGGUAGAGGGUAGUGGAAUUUCCUGUGUAGAGGUGAAAUGCGUAGAUAUAGGAAGGAACACCAGUGGCGAAGGCGACUACCUGGACUGAUACUGACACUGAGGUGCGAAAGCGUGGGGAGCAAACAGGAUUAGAAACCCUGGUAGUCC